rnacentral:rRNA from 1 species
CCUACGGGAGGCAGCAGUGGGGAAUAUUGCACAAUGGGCGAAAGCCUGAUGCAGCAAUGCCGCGUGUGUGAAGAAGGCCUGCGGGUUGUAAAGCACUUUUAUUAGGAAAGAAAAACCCGGGGUUAAUACCCCCGGGCCUUGACGGUACCUAAUGAAUAAGCACCGGCUAACUCAGUGCCAGCAGCCGCGGUAAUACUGAGGGUGCAAGCGUUAAUCGGAAUUACUGGGCGUAAAGCGAGUGUAGGCGGCUGCGUAAGUCGGAUGUGAAAGCCCCGGGCUUAACCUGGGAAUUGCAUUCGAUACUGCGUGGCUAGAGUUUGGUAGAGGUAAGUGGAAUUCCGGGUGUAGCGGUGAAAUGCGUAGAUAUCCGGAGGAACAUCAGUGGCGAAGGCGGCUUACUGGACCAAAACUGACGCUGAGGCUCGAAAGCGUGGGGAGCAAACAGGAUUAGAUACCCUGGUAGUCCACGCCGUAAACGAUGAGUGCUAGGCGUCGCGGGUAUUGACCCCUGCGGUGCCGUAGUUAACGCGUUAAGCACUCCGCCUGGGGAGUACGGCCGCAAGGUUAAAACUCAAAGGAAUUGACGGA